AAGAGUUUUGGAUCCUGGCUCAGAAUCAACGCUGGCGGCGUGCCUAACACAUGCAAGUCGAGCGAGAAAGGGAGCUUCGGUUCCCAAGUAAAGCGGCGGACGGGUGAGUAACACGUGGGUAAUCUGCCCUCGGGUGGGGAAUAACUCAGGGAAACCUGGGCUAAUUCCGCAUGAUAUUCCCGAUACUCAAGUAUUGGAAAUCAAAGCUGGGGACCCUUCGGGGCCUGGCGCCUGAGGAGGAGCCCGCGGCCAAUUAGCUUGUUGGUGGGGUAAUGGCCCACCAAGGCUUCGAUUGGUAGCCGGCCUGAGAGGGCGGACGGUCACACUGGGACUGAGACACGGCCCAGACUCCUACGGGAGGCAGCAGUGGGGAAUUUUUGUCAAUGGGGGAAACCCUGAACAAGCAACGCCGCGUGGAGGACGAAGACCCUCGGGUUGUAAACUCCUGUCGGAGGGGACGAAUGUGCCGGUGGUUAAUACCCAUCAGUAUUGACGGUACCCUACGAGGAAGCCCCGGCUAACUCCGUGCCAGCAGCCGCGGUAAUACGGGGGGGGCAAGCGUUGUUCGGAAUUACUGGGCGUAAAGGGCGCGUAGGCGGACCAGACAGUCUCUCGUGAAAUCCCACGGCUCAACCGUGGAACUGCGGGAGAUACUACUGGUCUUGAGUUCGGGAGAGGAGUGUGGAAUUCCCAGUGUAG
rnacentral:rRNA from 1 species